AUUGAACGCUGGCGGCAUGCCUUACACAUGCAAGUCGAACGGUAACAGGCCUUCGGAUGCUGACGAGUGGCGAACGGGUGAGUAGUACAUCGGAACGUGCCCGAUCGUGGGGGAUAACGGAGCGAAAGCUUUGCUAAUACCGCAUACGAUCUACGGAUGAAAGCAGGGGACCGCAAGGCCUUGCGCGGACGGAGCGGCCGAUGGCAGAUGAGGUAGUUGGUGGGAUAAAAGCUUACCAAGCCGACGAUCUGUAGCUGGUCUGAGAGGACGACCAGCCACACUGGGACUGAGACACGGCCCAGACUCCUACGGGAGGCAGCAGUGGGGAAUUUUGGACAAUGGGCGAAAGCCUGAUCCAGCCAUGCCGCGUGCAGGAUGAAGGCCUUCGGGUUGUAAACUGCUUUUGUACGGAACGAAAAGCCUCUUUCUAAUAAAGAGAGGUCAUGACGGUACCGUAAGAAUAAGCACCGGCUAACUACGUGCCAGCCGCCGCAGUAACAC
rnacentral:rRNA from 1 species